UAAGGUGGCUUUAGCGGCAGGGAUCACCUCUUCCCAUUCCGAACAGAGAAGUUAAGCCUGCCCGCGCGGAUGGUACUAGGGUAAAACCCGGGAGAGUACGGCGUCGCCUUUC
rnacentral:rRNA from 1 species